CCUGGUGGCUCAGAUGGUAAAGAAUCUGCCUGUAAUGCAGGAGACCUGGGUUCAAUUCCUGGGUCAGGA
rnacentral:tRNA from 1 species